UACGUAGGGUGCAAGCGUUGUCCGGAAUUAUGGGGCGUAAAGAGCUCGUAGGCGGUCUGUCGCGUCGGCUGUGAAAUCCCGGAGCUCAACUCCGGGUCUGCAGUCGAUACGGGCAAACUGGAGUACUGCAGGGGAGACUGGAAUUCCUGGUGUAGCGGUGAAAUGCGCAGAUAUCAGGAGGAACACCGGUGGCGAAGGCGGGUCUCUGGGCCGAUACUGACACUGAGAAGCGAAAGCGUGGGGAGCGAACAGG
rnacentral:rRNA from 1 species